GAUGAACGCUGGCGGCGUGCCUAACACAUGCAAGUCGAGCGAUUUACUUCGGUAAAGAGCGGCGGACGGGUGAGUAACGCGUGGGUAACCUGCCCUGUAUACACGGAUAACAUACCGAAAGGUAUGCUAAUACGGGAUAAUAUGCUUUAGUCGCAUGGCUGAAGUAUCAAAGCUCCGGCGGUACAGGAUGGACCCGCGUCUGAUUAGCUAGUUGGUAAGGUAACGGCUUACCAAGGCGACGAUCAGUAGCCGACCUGAGAGGGUGAUCGGCCACAUUGGAACUGAGACACGGUCCAAACUCCUACGGGAGGCAGCAGUGGGGAAUAUUGCACAAUGGGCGAAAGCCUGAUGCAGCAACGCCGCGUGAGCGAUGAAGGCCUUCGGGUCGUAAAGCUCUGUCCUCAAGGAAGAUAAUGACGGUACUUGGGGAGGAAGCCCCGGCUAACUACGUGCCAGCAGCCGCGGUAA
rnacentral:rRNA from 1 species